AUGUUACCGUAUAUGCUCGAUCAGAGGCCGCUCUUGUAUAAAGGCCGCACUCAAAUAGUAGCCUCCCUUGCUAGCAAAAUGAAACAUUUAGUAGCCGCUCUCAAAUAGUAGCCUCAGUGAACUAGCAUUUCUGCACGUGGGCCAAAAAAUUAUUACUAGCAGCUAGCUACAUGUACGUAGCUACAAGUAGCAGCUUGUUAGUGCUUCACAAAGACUUUCUCAUGGCAGAGUUCAAGUUUAUGCAGGUGAAAACAACUUUAGAUGACAAACUAAAUUAUCUGGAGCUAAUAAACGCCGCUCUUGAACAGUGGCCUCUCUUGAAUUGUAGCCUCCUCUUCCAGCAAAAUGAAACAUUUAGUAGCCGCGGCUCCUGAUCAAGCAUAUACGGUAAUUAACAAAUAUCUUGCACGUGACUACAUUCCUCAGUGCUAUGGAAUUGCUGCAAUAGUUACCAGACGUUCCCUCUAGGAGUCUGCUUGCAAGACUACGGAAUAUGUACGUACUUACAUUAUGAAUACUAGAAUGAUCGUAAGAGUCAGUUAAAAGUGAUACCUUUUGUGGAGAGUGAGAGCUGCUGAGCUUUGGCACUCUCCAGGAACUUAUUAAAGUCCUCCUCGUCCUGAGUCAGUGUUCUGUAGCCAGGAUAAACAACACAUGGACACAUUCAAACUGGUAGUGUGAUGAAGGGUCUGGUACACGUACUGUACAAUGUCAUGUACAAAUAUUGUGAGCUAGUGUUCUCAAUUGACACACGUUUCCCUGUACACACCUAAACUGCAUACAUUGAAGCAUACCUUGUAUACAAGUGCAUGUACAUACAGACUAGUGAGCAUACUAGGUUCCCAUUCUUUGUACUGUACAUUCAAUAGUACACAGUGGACUCAUUGCACUGCAUAACUACACAUUAUACACACGUACCUUGUUCUUGAUGAAGGUUCUUCUCAAUGCCAGCUAUAAUGGUUAGCGCAUGCGCAAGCAGUCGAUUACCAUAGAUAUGGCACGAUUGUUAAAUGACAAGCUUUUGACUACCAUUGGUAGCCAGUAAUGUUGUAGUCAACAAAGACAGCCGAUUUUCAGUGAAUGAGGAAAGAACUGAGUAGACUCUAGUUGUGGUCACAUGUAAAAAAAAGUAUAUAUCUAGGAUGGGCAGUCACGUAUAUAUGUAUAUGCUGAGUGUCUAUGUAUUGUAUAUAGCCAACUGAGUAGUUUGAGCAUUUAAGACUUAUUUGGGUAGUAGCCAGGUAGUUCAGUUGGUAUAGUCGAGUAGCUAUAUAGUUGGGUAGUGGAGUAGCUAUAGGUAGUUGGGUAGUCAAGUAGUCGAGUAGUUAGGUAUAGUGAAGUAGUGCAGUAGCUAGGUAGUUGCAUGGGUAGUAAAGUAGUUGGGUAGUCAAGUAGUUGGGUAGUCAAGUAGUCGGGUUAGUCAAGUAGUUGGGUAGUUGGGUAGUCAAGUAGUUGGGUAGUGAAGUAGUCAAGUAGUUGGGUAGUGAAGUAGUCGGAUAGUUGGGUAGUGAAGUAGUUGGGUAUAUAUAGUGAAGUAGUGAAGUAGUUGGGUAGUGCAGUAGCUAGGUAGUUGGGUAGUGAAGUAGUUGGAUAGUGCAGUAGCUAGGUAGUUGGGUAGUGAAGUAGUUGGGUAGUGAAGUAGUGAAGUAGUGAGUGAGGUAGUGAAGUAGUCGAGUAGUGAAGUAAUUGUACGGGAGCUCUGUGCUGCAUUUAGUGACAAACAGAUCUCAAUCACUGUGCAAGACUUUCAGAAGAGAAUUGCCAACUUCCCUUUGAACACUGUCAAUCCCCAAUGGUUCCUAAACAAAACAACUGACAGGACCACGAUGCCAUCUAGCUAGCAUCCAUGCAUGCUAAGCAAAAGAAGUGCUCGCAGAUCUACCAGUCCACCUUUGACGAGUCUUUUCUCGAAAAGUUGGAAGCAGCUAUACAUGGAGAAGAGGUGUGUUCAGCUAUAGAGGAAGUUGACAAGGACUCCAGUGGCCUUUGGGGCGGGGAGAGUCAGACUCCUCCAAAGGAAACCAGUGUGGAAAGAGAGACCCCUCCAUCAUCAGACACUCCUCAUGUUGUAGAGACCCCUCCAUCAAACAGCAGUACAACUCCUCCUUUGGUAGAGACCCCUCCAUCAUCAGACACUCCUCACGUGGUAGAGAUCCCUCCAUCAAACAGCAGUACAACUCCUCCUGUGGUAGCUGUAGAGACCCCUCCAUCAGACAGUGGUACGAACAGAGAUCCAGCGAGCAGUGGUGAAGCCGUGACAAAACAACUAAAGCGUGCUCUUACACUUUGCACUGAAGACAAUAUACUCCUGUGUUGAAGCGCAGCAAACGGAUGAAGGGGAGACACAGUACCACCCCUGUGGUGAAACGCAGACGCAUGAACAAAAAGAUCAACAAAAAGAUCGACACAAACAUUUGUCAGCAGUGCCAGCAGGCAGGAGACGAGGAGAAUUGGGUGGGAUGUGAUUACUGUCCACGUUGGUUCCACAUUAAUUGCGUGAGGAUUGACCAACAUGCAUGACAUCCGUGAACAGUGGAAAUGCUCAAUAUGUUAAACAGAUUGUUCUAAGUUUCUGGGCUAUCACUUACGUUUUGUGUUCACCUAGUAGAUAUAUAUCUAGAUCUAUACUCAUUUAUUUACUCAUUUAUUUACUCAAUAACAGCUCAAUGUUCACUUUGUAGUAAAUGUCAUGGUGUUUAGUUA